rnacentral:rRNA from 1 species
GAUGAACGCUGGCGGCGUGCCUAAUACAUGCAAGUCGAGCGAACAGACGAGGAGCUUGCUCCUCUGACGUUAGCGGCGGACGGGUGAGUAACACGUGGAUAACCUACCUAUAAGACUGGGAUAACUUCGGGAAACCGGAGCUAAUACCGGAUAAUAUAUUGAACCGCAUGGUUCAAUAGUGAAAGACGGUUUUGCUGUCACUUAUAGAUGGAUCCGCGCCGCAUUAGCUAGUUGGUAAGGUAACGGCUUACCAAGGCAACGAUGCGUAGCCGACCUGAGAGGGUGAUCGGCCACACUGGAACUGAGCCACGGUCCAGACUCCUACGGGAGGCAGCAGUAGGGAAUCUUCCGCAAUGGGCGAAAGCCUGACGGAGCAACGCCGCGUGAGUGAUGAAGGUCUUCGGAUCGUAAAACUCUGUUAUUAGGGAAGAACAAAUGUGUAAGUAACUAUGCACGUCUUGACGGUACCUAAUCAGAAAGCCACGGCCAACUACGUG